UGGGGAAUAUUGCACAAUGGGCGCAAGCCUGAUGCAGCAACGCCGCGUGAGGGACGACGGCCUUCGGGUUGUAAACCUCUUUUGGCAGGGAAGAAGCGAAAGUGACGGUACCUGCAGAAAAAGCACCGGCUAACUACGUGCCAGCAGCCGCGGUGAUACGUAGGGUGCAAGCGUUGUCCGGAAUUAUUGGGCGUAAAGAGCUCGUAGGCGGUUUGUCGCGUCUGCUGUGAAAACCCGAGGCUCAACCUCGGGCCUGCAGUGGGUACGGGCAAACUAGAGUGCGGUAGGGGAGAUUGGAAUUCCUGGUGUAGCGGUGGAAUGCGCAGAUAUCAGGAGGAACAUCGAUGGCGAAGGCAGAUCUCUGGGCCGUAACUGACGCUGAGGAGCGAAAGCAUGGGGAGCGAACA
rnacentral:rRNA from 1 species